AUAGCAGAAGUUUUUCCAGCCAUCAAAUUUCUUUUUCUUUAGAAAUUUUGAAGUUUCUGACAUACUCUUUGUAAGAAUUUCAAAAUUCUCAUCAGUGGAACAUUGACAGUAUGUAAUUUCAGCAUAUUUUCUUCUCUUUACUGCCACAGUACAUUCGUUAUCCCACCAAGGAGGAGAAGGAAUAAAACCCAAAGAGCUAUUUUUACUUGGAAAUAUCUCAUUGGCAACCUCAAUAAAGAUUCUUGCUAAAGAAUCUGCACACUGAGAUUCUGUACCUGGAUUAAUUUUUGGAAGUGUUGGAAAUGAUAAUAAUAGUGGGAAGUGAUCACUACCAAAAGUAGAUCGUAAUGGAUCCCAGGACAAAGAAGAAGCAAGAUUAGGUGUAGUGACUGUUAAAUCUGGAGCACUUGGGCCCUCGUCAGGAUGAGUACGUCGUGUAGGACGACCAUCAUUUAAUAUACACAAAUUCACUGAAUCAAAUAUAUCUAUUAAUGUGUUACCAUAACUAUUAGAAGAUAAGUAACCCCAGGAUUCAGGGCGACAGUUAAAAUCACCAAGGAUCAUAAAAGGCUUCGGAAGAAUGGAAAUAAUAUCUUUAAUUUCAUUUAAGAUUGCAGAAGAAGGAUGAGGUAUAUAAAUAGAUACAUAACAGAUAUUUUCAACUAAAGCAGCAAUAAUAGAAAAAUCAUUACUGUGAGAAGUAAUAGAGAAGAGAGAAAAGGAAAGAGGGUGUUUCACAAGCAUGGCUACUCCGCCAUGCCAAUCCACACGAUCUUCUCUGAGACAUGAAUAACCACGAAUCUUAAAUAAAGAUCCUGGUUUCAACCAUGUCUCUUGAAGAGCACAGAUAUAAGGUUUAUAUUUAUUUAAUAAAUAAAUAAGAUCACUUUUUUUAGGAGUGAUGCUUUGACAAUUCCAUUGAAGAACUUUGUCCAUUAUUUGGUUUAUAAAUUUGAGUAAUUGCAGAAACUAAUAAGGCAGCAUUGGACGGUGAAAAUUCAUUCGAUUGACUAAGAGAUUUUAUAAGAGAAAUAAUUAAAUCAAUUACUGAGGAUU